GACCUGCGGAGGGAUCAUUACACAAAUAUGAAGGCGGGCUGGAACCUCUCGGGGUUACAGCCUUGCUGAAUUAUUCACCCUUGUCUUUUGCGUACUUCUUGUUUCCUUGGUGGGUUCGCCCACCACUAGGACAAACAUAAACCUUUUGUAAUUGCAAUCAGCGUCAGUAACAAAUUAAUAAUUACAACUUUCAACAACGGAUCUCUUGGUUCUGGCAUCGAUGAAGAACGCAGCGAAAUGCGAUAAGUAGUGUGAAUUGCAGAAUUCAGUGAAUCAUCGAAUCUUUGAACGCACAUUGCGCCCUUUGGUAUUCCAAAGGGCAUGCCUGUUCGAGCGUCAUUUGUACCCUCAAGCUUUGCUUGGUGUUGGGCGUCUUGUCUCUAGCUUUGCUGGAGACUCGCCUUAAAGUAAUUGGCAGCCGGCCUACUGGUUUCGGAGCGCAGCACAAGUCGCACUCUCUAUCAGCAAAGGUCUAGCAUCCAUUAAGCCUUUUUUUCAACUUUUGACCUCGGAUCAGGUAGGGAUACCCGCUGAACUUAAGCAUAUCAAUAAGCGGAGGAAAAGAAACCAACAGGGAUUGCCCUAGUAACGGCGAGUGAAGCGGCAACAGCUCAAAUUUGAAAUCUGGCUCUUUUAGAGUCCGAGUUGUAAUUUGCAGAGGGCGCUUUGGCUUUUGGCAGCGGUCCAAGUUCCUUGGAACAGG
rnacentral:rRNA from 1 species